UAGGGGGCAAGCGUUAUCCGGAUUUACUGGGUGUAAAGGGAGCGUAGACGGUCAUGCAAGUCUGGAGUGAAAGGCGGGGGCCCAACCCCCGGACUGCUCUGGAAACUGUAAGACUAGAGUACAGGAGGGGUAAGCGGAAUUCCUAGUGUAGCGGUGAAAUGCGUAGAUAUUAGGAGGAACACCAGGGGCGAAGGCGGCUUACUGGACUGAAACUGACGUUGAGGCUCGAAAGCGUGGGGAGCAAA
rnacentral:rRNA from 1 species